AAAAAUUUAAGUUAAUAAAACUAAGGACCUUCAAAGCCCUAAAUAGAAGUUAAACCUUCUAAUCUUUG
rnacentral:tRNA from 1 species